rnacentral:pre_miRNA from 1 species
UAAGGAAAUAGUAGCCGUGAUUUUACCCAUGCAUUUUUCACAUAUCACAGUUGCUGUUUCUUUUAGA